UGUGAAGCCCACAUAAGUGACAAGUGUCAUAUUUGCAAGGCCUUCAAACUCUGCUCGAAGAAGGAUAGACCAGCUAAGCUUAAGUGCUUGCUUACGGAAGCAGCAUUUUGACUCUCAGCUGAGUUAUCGCAUGUGGAGAGUGCCCAAAGUAUUUCAACAUUAGUAUGGAAUACUCCACCAGAAGUAUUUUCACCUCCAUGGUCCCGAUCUCUGGUGCUGAAGGAGAGAUCCAGACCUUUCUCAGGCUCGCCAUCUUGUUCAUCAAUCUCGGUACUGAGAUGAGAUGGGGCAAAGACUCUAAGCAUGUGGCAGAGAAAGCAUCCCCGCAAGCCUUGCCUACUAUGAGGGGUUCACUGCCUCUAGAGCUUGAGGCAGGUCCAUUAAGUCUAUCCCACAGGCAUAUGCAACCACAAGAAACUUGUUUAGUUUCUCAGUACUGUUUUCACCAGUGUAGGAAACUGUCCAACCACUUCCUGCUCCCUCAGCUCAACCCUCAGUACACUGAGAACCCCUCAUACCCCUAUCUAGACCUCUUCUCAAAUCAGUUUUAUCUAGAGGGAAACCUUCCUUGAUUUCUCCAGUACUACCAUCCCCAGGUUCAGGUACCUUUCUCGGGUACCAUCUGCAUCAGUGCCUCUGCUAUCUGAAGCCUCUGACUUGUUAGACUUGGAAGUGAGGGCCUCCUGUUUCUCGGCAGGGACAUAGCACUUACCCUCCUGCAAGGUCAUUGGGGCCAUAGGCAGUGCAGUAGCCCCAUGGCUGGCCUUUUCCCUAAGGCACAAUGGUGUGGACGUGGAUGGGACCUGGGUCCAUACCAGUGGCCACUCUGGGCUCCAUGUGGCAUUCCUCCCCCAGCUAGGAUCUCACCCCAGCAGUGUCGACAAUUGUGGGGAGCGCAUUGGACAUCAUGGCACCAGGAAUUUCAUUCUUCGGUAGAUGACAUGGAAACAGGUACCAGGCACGGAGAGUGUCUCUCUGCUUUCCGGUACUGUGACCGGUCCCAGCCAACCAUGACCACCUCAGGUAGUUUCUCCACCACGGUUGCCACUAUCUCAGGUGCUGGUUACAGCCUCAUCUUCAUCACCAGAUGAAACUAUAGAUUCAGUGGGAGAUUCGCCUCCUCCUUUGGAAGGCUACAGGGCCCACCAAAAUCUCCUGAAAAAGUAGUCUCGGGUCUUUGGCAUCUAGGCAGGAGAGCUAUGUCUGCCACCUUGACUGAGAUUGCUCUGCCAAUCAAUGAGGCAGUCAUGAUGCAUUUUCAUCAACAACCACCUUUUUCUUUAUCGAGUGAUUGCUCAUGUGUGUUCCGUAAUAGGUGUGCAUGCUCACCAGGUGCCCUGGUGCCGGAAGUUUUUCCCCUUGGAGUACCAGUAGGGGGGAGCGCCACAGCGACCCCUGGAGUGGUGCCUCCAUGGCAUGGUAUAAGGGGAGCUGCGCACUCCCGCCACUCUCAGUUCCUUCUUGCCACCAGCAAAGAUGUCAGAAUUACUCUGCUUCAGCUUUGCCAUAGCUCGUCCCCAGAACUGUUCGUUCGUUUACCGUUGGUACCUGUAGUUAGUUAGCUGUUUAGUUAUUUCAGUUCAUCAGAGAACCCAGACUGGGGCAUGACCCGCACCCCGGAUUUUAAGUUGUGCGGCGCUUGUAUGCGAUCUAUGCCAAGGAGUGACCUGCAUGCAGACUGACUGUGCUGUUUGGGAGAAACCCAUAUCAGCGAUGGUUGCAAAAUUUGCAAGUUGUUUAAGCCUCCGACCAAGAGAGAGGGGGACAUUAGGCUCGGGGCCAUUCUCAUGGAGUUGGCGCUGACCCCGACUCCAGCGCGCCGCUCCGAGCUGGCACUGGGCGUCAAGGUGUUGGUGCGCAGUGACCUUCCGGUGCCGUUGACCAGUCAGCACAGCUCCCCGUCCAUGGGGCAUGCCAAGAAAGCCAGAAAGAUGCCUUCUUUGCAGCGGCACUGAGGGAAACCUGGGACCUAGACCCAUGUUGGGGAGUCCUCGAUCCCCACCAGCCUCUAGGCUUCUGACUCAUGUAUAGCAGAGUAGUCCAGCCUCUUCGGAGCAGACCUCCCCGAAUGUCCAGAUGCCAUCCAUGCUGGAGGCCCUGCAGGCUACUCGGGAUGUUAUGUUCAUGCCGGUACCAGGAGCACCGCUGAUGUUGGCCCCACGCUCCCAGGGGCAAGCUGCCCCUGGGAUCUCCACUGUCACCCCAGCUCAGUACUCGUUUCAGUCCAGGGAAUGUUCCCAAUGCUGUUCGCUGCCCAGCGACAGUUAGGGGCAAAGUCCACAAUGAUCGCCCUUGACUGCCACCAUACUGACUGGUUGGGUUCUGUCAGACCGAGACUCUCGGCACGGUUCUACCUCAAGGAGCGAAUACCGACAGGACCGGGACAGGUGUUGCCAAAGGUCCUUGUAUCGGAGGGGUUAUCGCAGCCCGUCACAGCACAGAUGUCGAUGCCGUGUUCGCUCAGAAUCCUGCUCCAAGACUCCGCCAAGGCAUCGCCUCUGCAGCCCUGGGUGUCGAUCGUCGGCAUCUCACCAUCUUGGAUCUGCCCGUCGGAGCCAAUUGCAGAGCAGCUGUUACCGAUGGUACCAGUCCUCCACGUAGGGUUCGCGGACCCAUGGUCAGUGUCGCUCCCGGCAUCGCCGCUGUUCCCGGUCCAGGGACAGUGGCAAGUCGUACGUCAGCCCAGCCUCCAUUCAUAGUCGUCCAUCGAUGGUCCAGGCCAGCCAGGCUGAAUGGUAGGCCCCGCCGGUGCCGCAGCAGGUGCAGUGGCACCGGGCGCCAUGGCUUGCCCAAUGGUACCAGGGGCGCCGUGGUUGGAGCUUCAGAAGCACUGUUGGCCUCCUUCUCCAGACCUCCGAGGAAGGAGUCAAUGGGAUGUACUUCCUUGGCACCGUGGACACCCAGAGUACCACACCGGCCUCCUCGACCUCAAUGGAUGAGACAAUUACGGUCCCGUCCCCCUCGAUCCCGCUGGAGGACUUUAGGGCCUACCAAGAACUCUUAAAAAGGGUGGCAUCAAGCCUCCACCUCCAGGCAGAGGAGACGAAGGAGCCAUCAGAAUCCCUUUUUAAUGUGCUGUCCUCUUUGGCACCAGGCAGGAUAGUCUUGCCUCUCCAUGAAGGUGUGGCAAAAAUUUCAAAUGCCCUGUGGCAAACACCGGCCUCGUUGGCCCCCAUCUCCAAGAGGGUGGAACGCAAGUACUUUGUGCCCGCCAAGGGACACAAGUACUUACACACCUACCCAGCGCACAACUCCCUGGUGGUCGAGUUGGUCAACUACAGGGAAUAGCAGGGCCAGCCAGCCCCUACCCCAAAAAAUAAAGAGUCACGGAGGCUGGACUCUUCUGGAAGAAAAAUUUAUUUGUCCUCGAGUUUCCAGUUACGAGUGGCAAACCAUCAGGCUCUCCUGGGCCGGUAUGAGUUCAAUCUGUGGGGCUCCUUGCCCAAGUUCGAGGAUUCCCUCCAGGAGCGCAAUAGGAAGGAGUUCAAAGCACUGGUGGAGGAGGGUACAGCGGCUGCCAGGGCAGACCUGCAGGCAGCUUCGGAUGCAGUGGACACUGUCUCCACAGUGUCCAUGAGAAGGGCGUCGUGGCUCCUGUUCUCUGGGCUGUCCAGCGUGGCUCAGACCUCCCUGUAUGAUCUCCCAUUUGACAGCAGAGCUCUGCAGCGCAAACGGAUACAAGGCUACGUGACAUGAAAGACUCCCUUAUGACCCUCCAGACUCUGGGUCUCUAUGUUCUGGCUCCGGCUAAAUCUAAAUUCAAGCUGCAAGAUUCCCGCUCAGGCCUCCACCCGAAAUACGAGUCCUCCCAUAAGAAGUCAUGAGACCAUAAGGAGGUGCCCUCAGAGGCAGUCUCUGCCUACCCCCCAACCUGGGUCCUCCAAGGGCAAGCAGAUGGGGAAAAGGCAUUUUUGACGGGACACUUGGGGGCGCCCUGCCAGUUCUCAUCAGGAAUCCACCCUCAAUAAAGCUUCCCUUCUCCAACCGGUUGUGUGCUUUUCUCCCGGAGUGAUCGCAACUGAUCUCGGACCGAUGGAUCCUCAACACCAUCUCCCGGGGCCACAUCCUCCAGUUUACUUUCUCCCCGCCCAACCAUCCCCCGCUCCCAUCUCUCCUGGGGGACUUCUCACACGGAGCUCUGCUCCAGCAGGAGGUGGGGCGGCUCCUGGGCCUAGGAGCAGUGGAAGUGGUGCCCGAGGAGUGCAAAGGCAAGGGGUACUACUCCCGCUGUUUCCUUAUCCUGAGGCCAAAGGGGGACUUGGGCUCAUCCUGGGCCUGCGAGGUCUGGACCAGUACAUGGUGAAGCUCAAGUUCCGCAUGGUCUCCUGGCCUCUGUCAUCACAUCCCUGAAUCCUGGGGACUGUUAUGCUGCCCUCAAUCUGCAGGACGCUUAUUUCCACAUUCAUAUAUUCGAGGGGCACAGAUGCUUCCUCCAUUUCUGGUGGGGCAGAAUCACUACCAAUUUAUGGUCCUCCCAUUUGGCCUGUCCACUGCCCCCAGGGUAUUUACAAAAUGUAUGUCAGUGGUAGCAGCCUACCUCAGGCACCGGGAGGUACAGAUCUUUCCCUUGUCAGGGACGAUUGGCUGGUCAAAGCUCCUGGUCGCAGGUGAGGGAUCAUGUGAUGCUCCUCCUGUCCAUGUGCACCAUUUUGGUCCUGUUGGUAAACAACAGCAAGUCCACAUUAGUCCCGGUUCAACACAUAGUUUAUCAGGACACUCCUGGAUGCCUCGUUGGCCAGAGCCUCCCUCUCACCGGUCUCGCAGGGCUGCCUUCUCCACCCCAGUCUAGUGGCUCUCCAACUCACAGCGUGGCUGCUCAAUGGCUAGUAGGGAGGAGAGGACGUGCUCAGAAGGACGUGCUCCUAGAAAGCAGGCGACCCUCCAAGCACCGCGCCUACUUGGUGAAGUGGUCCCAGUUCUCUAGAUGGGCAGGUGAAUGGGGUGUUUCCCCCAGUGGCUGCCCCAAUCCGGCUUAUCCUUGACUACCUUCUUCAUCUUACAGCCCAGGGCCUGGCAGCCUUGUCAGUCAAGGUGCACCUGGUGGCCAUAUCGCCCUUCCAUCUGCCGGUGCACCGCCAUGCUAUGACUGGCCGGUUCCUUAAGGGGUUGGACUGUCUUUUUUCCAUAUGUUAUGCCCUCAGUCCCGCAGUGGGACCUGAACCUGGUGUUGGCUCAUCUCACAGGGCCCCCGUUUGGGCCACUAGCUGCGUGCUCCUGGUCCCACCUCUCAUGGAAGGUGUCCUUCCUGGUCACGAUCACAUUGGCCAUGUGGGUCUCGGAACUCAGGGCCAUGACCUCCGAGUCUCCGUACAUGGUUUUUCAUAAGUGCAAGGUCUAGCUCCUCCCACACCCUGCAUUCCUCCCAAAGGUGGUCUCCGCCUAUCACAUGCGUCAGGACGUUUUUCUGCUGGUCCUCUGCCCCAAGCCCUGCACGUCCAGUGAGGAGCGACGUCUCCACAUGCUCAGUGUGUGAUGGGCUCUGGCUUUCUACCUUGAGUGAACCAAGUCAUUCUAAAGUUCUUGCAAUUGUACAUCGACUCAGGUGAGUGCAUGAGGGGUCAGUCGUUCUCCUCCUGAGCAGCUUUCCAACCGGAUCACUUUGUGCAUCCGUACCUGUUAUGAACUGGCGGGUAUCCCCCCGCCACCGAUUGUGAAGGCACACUCGACUCGAGCACAGGUCCCGUCGGCUGCCUUCUUGGCCCCUGUCCCCAUGCAGGACAUUUGUAGGGCUGCCACGUGGUCUUCAGUUCACAUGUUCACCCUGCACUAUGUGAUUGUCUCCCAAACCAGGGAUGACACCAAGUUCAGCAGGGCUGUCCUCCGUCCUGAGAACUUGUGAACUCCUACCCACCUCCAACAGGUAGAGCUUGGAAUCAACUGUUAUGGAAUAUCCGUGAGCAAUCACUCGAAGAAGAAAAGACAGUUACCUUUUCCAUAACUGGUGGUGGUUGAGAUUUGUUGCUCAUGUCUAUUUCAAAUCCUACCCUCCUUCCCCGUGUCGGAGUUGUCUGGCAAGAAGGAACUGAGGGUGGGGGGAGCGCACAGCUCUCCUUAUACCGCACGAUGGAGGUGCUACUCCGGGGUCGCUGGGGCAAUCCCCCCUAUAGGUACUGCUAGGGGAAAAGCUUCCAGCACUGGUGCACAUGGUGACGACGCACACCUAUUGUGGAAUAGACAUGAGCAACACAUACUGAACACCAGUUACGGAAAAGGUAACAGUCUUUUCAUCACCAUAGCUUUGCUCCCCGUUUCCAAGAUCCGCCUAGGAAAACAGAGAAGGAGCUAUGGAAGGUGCCCUCCUCUUCAGUGUCAAUGAGCUCAUCACAUCCAGCUGCCCCUUCCAAAUAGGCAUUUUGAUUGGGUAGUUGAGGAUAUUAUGCCAGUCUCCUCACUUCUGUUCCCCCUAUUUUUUUUGUUUACCAAAUGCUUGUCCCACUUCCUAAGUACUUGGACCCACAUAAUGUCAGACCAGUGUGCCUUAAGUAUGUGGAAUAGAGGUAUGUCAUCCAGUUUGAUACACCCUACCCCUCUCUCUAUACUCCCGCUCCCCCAGUCAGGGACCACUUUAGAUCUCCCACUGAAGGGCAAUGUCGAGAAUCUCUUUCAGACCGACUGUAGAGGAAGUACCAUUGAGCCGCCGGAGAGAAGGUUUCUAUUUGUUGUUUCCUGAUUCCCAAGACAAAAGGAGAUCUCAUGCCCAUCUUAGAUGUCAGAGAGUUGAACAAAUUCCUACAGAAAAUAAAAUCUCACACUGUUCCUAGUGUCAAUUAUCCCUUCCCUAGCAGGAGGAGACUGGUAUGGGGCCCUUUCACUUGAGGGACACUUACUUCCAUAUUGCAAUAUGUCCCAGCCAUUGAAAAUUUAUCAGGUUAAUGCCUGAUAUUCAUCAUUAUCAGUUCAUAGUGCUUCACUUUGGCUUGGCAGCUGUGGAACCAGCUCAUCUUCCAAAAUUAGGUAUCCAUGUCUUCCCAUACCUGAGUGACUGGUUGAUCAGAGGUUGAUCAGAGUUGCAGAUCCUGUCCAGCAUAUUCACUGCUCUGUCUUCAUUCAGAGCUCCAGAGCAUUGAAUAUAUUGAGAAAAAUCCAUAUGGAAGCCUGUACAGACAGUAGAUUUCAGUGGAGCAAUCCUUGACUCCACAAAGCCAGAGCUUUUUCUACCACAAACCAAGUUCAAAACCAUUUGAGACCUAGUAGUUCGAUUGAAGGCUUGCCUGCUCAUAACAGCAAGUAAGUGACUAAGGCUGCUAGGUCAUAUGGCAGCCUGAGCCUGUGUAGUGCAGCAUGCCAAACUGUCAUUCAGGAAGCUGCAAACAUGGCUAACAUCACUAUAUGUCCUGCAUUGCCACCAUUUGGACAAGAUGGUUCAAGUGCCAAAGCUAGUUGUGUUGUCUUUGGAUUGGUGGAUAGACCCUCUAAAAGUUUGCUUGGAAGUUGCCUUCCUUCCCACACUAUGAGCACGCCCUCUAGUUGCGCGCACAUCCUCUCUAGGUUGGGGGAGCUCACAUUGGGUCCAUGAAGACAUAAGUACACAAGUGGUAAUAAAUGUCAGGGAGUUAAGAGCAGUACAUCUAAACUCAGUUAUUUCACCUCAAAGCUGCUUACCUUUCGGGGAAACAGAACACCGUGGCAGAUCAGCUGAGAAGAUCCUUCACUGAUCAACAGAAGUGGUCGUUAGGCCCAGUUGUAGCUAGGUUUAUCUUCCAACUCUCGGGGUUUCCCCAAAUGGACCUUUUGGCAACAAGACCCAUAGAAAAUUUUGCCAGUUCUGUUCCCUAGGCAACCUAACAGAUGCCUUUCUCCUAUCUUGGAGAAUUCCCUUCUAUAUGCCUUCCCUACAAUUCCUUUGUUCUUCUGAGUAAUAUCCAAAAAUAAUUAAGGACCAUGCUUGUCUUAUCCUUUAAAGUACCGGCAUGGCCCUUUCAGUACUGGUAUUCAGCUUUCCUGAUUCUGUCAGAGCUUCUUCUGUUCUUCUUGUUGGAUCCAGACAUGAUUUCUUGAGACCAUGGCUGCCUUCAUCACUCCAGCCUCCAAGCUCUCCAUCUCACAACAUAGAUUUUUCGUGGCUGAAUCCCUUUGAAAGGUCCUGCUCACAGGAUGUCCAGAAUGUACUUCUGAAUAAUGGAAGACCCUCAACUAGGGUCACUUACUUGGCUAAAUGGAAGUGCUUCUCCAUUUGGGUUCAUGAGAAACAUGUAUCUGCUCAGCAAGCACCCUGAAUAUUGUGCUGAACCAUCUGCUAGAUUUAAAACGGAAUCUGACUGUUGUGUAAGGGUGCAUUUGGCUGCUAUCUCAGCUUUGAUGUAUCAGUGGUGUGACAAAGUUCCUCCUCUGCCUUGGUGGGUCCUGCACUUAUUGACAGAUUUGCUUGCUUCAGAGAUUCCCGGCAGCCCUCAGUUUGGCCACUUUUGCUAGUGGCUCAAACCCUGCUGUCCACUCAGCUAACCUCAUCACUGGCCAGCAUGGGGGAAACUGAGAACAAUCCCCGCCAUCUGUGUCCCACCUAGUGGGUCAGGAACAGGCCAGAUCCCUUUCCAAUGUAGACCUUCCCUUUUGGUGUUUUUCACAGACUAGGUCAACUUGUCCUGUGUCCUAUCCGGAGUUGGGGGGAUGGGGGAACCCAGGUCCACCCUCUACACUGGGUUCCAGCUCAGGGCCCUGUGGAUAGCAGCUGUCUACAAUGAUCCCUGUAUCAGCUGCGUGACAGCUACAACUCUCUGGGCUACUUCCCCAUGGCCUUCCACGAGCACCUUCUUUAUCCUCACUGCAGGAUCUUCCUGCUGAAGCGUGAUCAUGCUUGAACUCUUCAGUCCUUCUGCAGCAUGCCUUCUCACUCCCUGCUCCUUGUGCGCCCCCCUACUAGCUGAUGGGAGGUCCUUUUUAAACCAGGUGUCCUGAUUAGCCUGCCUGCCAUAAUUGAUUCUAGAAAGUUCUUAAUUGGCUCCAGGUGUCUUGAUAAGCUUGCCUGUCUUAAUUGGUUCUAGCAGGUUCCUGAUUGUUCUAGGGCAGCCCCUGCUCUGUUCACUCAGGGAACAGAAAACUAUUAAUCCAGUGGCCAAUAUUCUUGCCUUCUACAGACUCUACCGGUCUGGGUCUGUCACAGUGGAUAAUAGAUUAUACCCUCAAGUGCAUGUCCCGUCCCUCCUUGGGAUCUCGACUUAGUCCUGGCAAUUCUAAUGGAACCCCACUUUGAACACCUUGUGACUGGCUCCCUCCUUCAUCCUUCUAUGAAGGUGGCAUUUUGAGAGAUUUAGUUUCAGAACCCCCUUAUACAGUUUCUUAUAAAGAUAAGGUUUGUCUUCUGCUGCAUUUAUAAAGCAGCAAUUUGGUCAUCAGCCGCACCUUCUCUUCUCAUUACACCAUUGACUAUCAAUCCAGAGAUUAUGCCAGUUUCGGCGGGUGGUCUUGCAAUCACUAUUCAGAUAGACUCCGAAUCCACCUCCACAGACAUUUUUGCUUGAGAGUCACCUACUGUGGAAAUUGUUUGAUAACUCGAAGAAACAGUUACCUACCUUUCUGUAACUGUUGUUCUUCGAGAUGUUCCACAUGUCCAUUCCACAGCCUGCCCACCUUCCCCUCUCCAUCAGAGUACAUCCAGUACAAAGGAACUGAGAGGGGUUGGGUUGUCUCUGCCUUCUUACAUCACCAUGCAUGGGCUUGAGGGGGGGCACUCCAGCCAUCCUGACGGGUACUGCUGAAGGGGGAGGAAAAUGACAUCUGUGUACACAAAGUGCACACCCAUCCACAAUGGUGUGGGCAUGUUCAACUCAUCUCAAAGAACAACAGUUACAGAAAGGAAGGUAAUUGCUUCUUUUGUCAGUUUAUAAAACAUAUAGUCUCGGAUUGUGUGCAAAAGACACGUAAGUACAAAUUGGGGAAAAUGUAGACCCGAGAGAUAUUUAGUUUUUUCCUACC